CCGAUCUCACCCUAAGUCGUGCAAUAUCCAGCAUAGACUUCGUCUUCUUCUUCUUCUUCUACUCUUCUAUAAUUUUUUUGUUAUCGUUGUUGGCGCUUUUUUUUUUUUGGUUUUUUUUUGGUUUUGUUUUUAUUGCACUACAUGUUUGGGAAACAAGACAAAAUGGACGUUAGAUGCAGUUCAGAGACUGAAGCUAACCGGGUCUCGAAGAACGGACAUAAAGAGGGCAAGGAAAGCAAAGGGUCUGAAGGAAAUAUUUCUACUUCUUUUUUGAAGGAUCAGCAAGGGACUUUUUCUGCCUCUGCAGCUACGGAAGGUUGUAAUAAAAGUAAAUCUAGUUCGGCUGAUCCGGACUAUUGCAGGAGGAUCCUAGUUAGAGAUGCCAAAGGUUCAAUCCGAGAGAUUAUUCUGCCUAAAGGGCUUGAUCUGGACCGUCCCAAGCGGACCCGCACCUCCUUCACGGCCGAGCAGCUCUACCGCCUGGAGAUGGAGUUCCAGCGCUGCCAGUACGUCGUGGGGCGGGAGCGCACCGAGCUCGCCCGCCAGCUCAAUCUCUCCGAGACUCAGGUCAAGGUCUGGUUCCAGAACCGGCGCACCAAGCAGAAGAAGGACCAGGGCAAGGACUCCGAGCUGCGGUCGGUGGUGUCCGAGACCGCCGCCACCUGCAGCGUCCUGCGGCUGCUGGAGCAAGGCCGGCUGCUGUCGCCGCCGGGGCUGCCCGGCCUCCUGCCGCCCUGCGCCACGGGCGCGCUGGGCUCGGCGCUGCGCGGGCCCGGCCUGGCCGCGGCGGGCGGCGGCAGCGCGGCGGCGGCUCCGGGAGGCGGCGGCUCCCCGCACCCUCCGGCCGCCAGCGGCGCGGCCGGGCCCCCCCCGCCCGCGGCUCUGCACGGGGCGGCGGCCGCGGGGCACGGGCUCUUCGGGCUGCCGGUGCCCGCGCUGCUGGGCUCGGUGGCCGGCCGCCUCUCCUCCGCGCCCCUGGCCGUGGCCGGCUCGCUGGCGGGCAACUUGCAGGAACUGUCGGCCCGCUACCUGAGCUCGUCCGCCUUCGAGCCCUACUCCCGGACCAACAAUAAAGAGAGCGCUGAGAAAAAAGCACUGGACUGACUCUAAAGAGUGCUGUAACAAUGGUACCACUCCACCCAGGCUACAAUUCACCCUGGUGCCACUCCACUCAGGCCACAGCUCAGUGGACAAAAAGUAGAAGAAACUCAUCCUGGCAAGCAACAAGCUGUGGCUCCAGGGAUUCAGAUUGGAUAUUGGGAAGAAUGCCAGCCAGGACACAAAAGAGAGAAAAAGGUUACUGAGGUCAUACCUGGCUAUAAAAAUGCAGUUAGAAACAAGUGAAGGACAACCUGGUGUGUGUACAGAAGAAUGAAGGAUGUCCUCAUGGCUUAAUUCAAAAGCCAUGGAAAUUAAGAAGAAAAAUUAAGAAAAUUAAGAAGACAAAUUCUCAUUUUUGGCAGAAUUUGUCUGAUUCUGAGAGCACUGUUAGUCAUUGGCCAGCGAGUUUCUAUCUGCUGUUCCUCUGAAGAAAUGAAAUGGAGAUGCUGAUGCUCAUCUAAACUUAUCCAGAAGGAGGUAUGAGUGCCUACUUGUACUGAAAUAAAGUUGAGGCAAAAUUGUGAACAAAAAUUUGACAGCCAGCAUAGUUGACUCCAAUUCAAGGUUAGCACUUAUUGCCUCUUGUUAGCCCUGAUGUUUCUUUCUUUCUUUAUUUUCUUGCCUGGUCUCUAAUUUAAACCUCCAAAGGGUGUCUACCACUAGACAGUUAUAAUCUCCUUGAGGCCUCUAAACAAUUUCAUAAACCAAAUCCUAAAUGGAAAUUAGAAGCAGGCAGGAGAAUGAAGUGUCUGCUGCCAUAAAGAGCUAAGGAGGAUAAAUAGCCAAUCCAAGGCAUCCUGAGUGCAUGCUCCAAGAUAAUCUUUUUUUUUCUCUGGACACAGCAUUGUGAACAUCCUCAAGAUCAGCUGAUUAUUGAGAUGAAUUAGCAAAUAAGAGCCCAUUACAUCAGGUGUUGAGAAGGACUUUAAUUGUGCUCGGGCUCCAAAUGGGAAACUUUAUACUGUGUCACAGCUGUUAAAACAGCAGAGCCUUAUGGAAACAGUCUUGGAUUACUGGCCCCAUGGAGUGAAACAUUUUGAAUGGAAGGGAUUAUGCUUAUUAUUUCUCAGCGCAUUGUAUUUUCUUAGAUAUUUUUACUGUCAUUAUUAUUAUUUACCUAGUUA